UCACAGGUGGUUAAGGGAGAGUCAGGACAGAAAAGGCUGAACUUUAUGGAUAAUUAAAGGGGGGUCCUUUUGGGGAUUGGGAUUUUGCAAUGCCAGUGAUAACUAGCUGCUACUGGCACCCAUGGGGUAGAAGUAAUUACAUACAAGUUGUUAAUUUUGGGAAGACAAGGGUGGAGAUAAGGAUGGAUCAAGAUGGAUCAACAAGGAACAACACCAGCAAAAUGGAGAACAAUUGGGGAAUACGAGAGACCCAACACACGUAAGCAAGCUGGAGUUAACAGCUCUAUAUCUCUGUGCUAAAGGAAGGAAAUCCAGUAGAAUCAGCGAUUUCAACAGGACCUCAUCAACAUUCAUCACACCAGCAUUAUAUCCAUCUUUAAAUUCAAAAUCUGUGACCUGCACAAUGACUAUAUUCAACAUUUUUUUCUGCAUUUGAAUUCAUACCUUCAUCAGUAGAAAAAAUUGAUUACUGCAACUUUGCUGAGCCACUGCCCACCCACCUCAACAACAUCUGAAGCAACUGCUGGACUGCUUCACAUGCUUAGAAAGACAGAAUAAUAACCUACCAGGACUAAAUAAAUAUUUCUUCUGGCAAUAAUCCAGGUAUAUGAGCUAUUCCUCAAUAAGAUCCCAGACUGCAAUUUACAAGCUCCAGCUUACAACACAGCCUUUCCAAAGCAAACUGAAAUCAGCAAUAUCUUGGCUGGAAAAUGAGGUUGUAACAUUAUAAGCAAUCCUCACUCAUUUAUUAAAACUUUGUAUUUUUACCCUGUGUGCUGGUUUUGGUUGGAAUAGAGUUAAUUUUCUUCAUAGUAGCUGGUAUGGGUCUAUGUUUUGGGUUUGUGCUGAAAACAAUCCUGAUGACACAGGGAUGGUGUCAUUACUGCUGAGCAGUGCUUACACAGAGUCACGGCCUUUUCUGCUCCAGCAAAUGGGCUGGGGGUGCACAAGAGGUUGGGAGGGGACAUGGCUGCAACAGCUGACCCCAGCGGUCCAAAGGGAGCUUCCAUACCAUAUGAUGUCAAAGCUGCGGAAAGAAGGAGGAAGUGGGGGGACAUGUUUGGAGUCAUGGCAUUUGUCUUCCCAAGUCACCACUACACGUGAUGAAGCCCUGCUUUCCUGGAGAUGGCUGAACACCUGCCUGCUGGUGGGAAGGAGUGAAUGAGUUCCUUCCUUUGCUUUCCUUGUGUACGCAGUUUUGCUUUGCUUAUUAAAUGGUAAAUAAUUUUUAUUUAUUUAUUUUUUACUUAUUAAAUUGUGUUAAAUUACUUAUUAAAUAUAC